AAUGAACGCUGGCGGCAUGCCUAAUACAUGCAAGUCGAGCGAACACACGAGGAGCUUGCUCCCCUGGCGUUGUCGGCGGACGGAAGCGUAACACAUGGAUGGCAUACCUCUCAGACUGGGGUGACUUCGGCGAAUAAGAGCUACUAACGGAUAAUAUAUUGAACCGCAUGGUUCACUAGUGAAAGACGCUUUUGCUGAGACUAAUAGCUGAAUCCGGGCCGCAUUCGUUAGUUGGUAAGGUAACGGCUUAGCAAGGCUACGAGGCGUAGCCGACCUGAGAGGGUGGAUGGCCAGAUUGGAAGUGAGGAUGGGUCCAGACUCCGACGGGAGGCAGCAGUAGGGAAUCUUCCGGAAGGGGCGAAAGCCUGACGGAGCAACGCCGCGUGAGUGAUGAAGGUCUUCGGAUCGUAAAACGCUGUUAUUAGGAAAGAACAAAAGCUUAUGUAACUAGGCACGUCUUGACGGUACCUAAACAGAAAGCCACGGCUAACUACGUG
rnacentral:rRNA from 1 species